rnacentral:rRNA from 1 species
UACGGAGGAUCCGAGCGUUAUCCGGAUUUAUUGGGUGUAAAGGGUGCGUAGGCGGACUGGUAAGUCAGCUGUGAAAGUUUACGGCUCAACCGUGAAAUUGCAGUUGAUACUGUUGGUCUUGAGUAUUGAUGAGGUGAGUGGAAUUUGUGGUGUAGCGGUGAAAUGCGUAGAUAUUACGAAGAACACCAGUUGCGAAGGCAGCUGACUGGGG